rnacentral:rRNA from 1 species
UACGGAGGGGGCUAGCGUUGUUCGGAAUUACUGGGCGUAAAGCGCACGUAGGCGGCUUUGUAAGUUAGAGGUGAAAGCCCGGAGCUCAACUCCGGAAUUGCCUUUAAGACUGCAUCGCUUGAAUCAUGGAGAGGUGAGUGGAAUUCCGAGUGUAGAGGUGAAAUUCGUAGAUAUUCGGAAGAACACCAGUGGCGAAGGCGACUCACUGGACAGGUAUUGACGCUGAGGUGCGAAAGCGUGGGGAGCGAACAGG